ensembl:lncRNA
CAGGACCAUAACAUCUUGAGUGUUCUGGCACCCGAUGGGCCACAGGUGAAGUGCAGGAACUGCGGGGCCUUUGGGCACAUGGCCAGCAGCAGGGGGUGUCCCGUGAAGUGCUGGAGUGGGGCCCUUGUGCUGCAGCCUUUAGGCUCCAAUAAGAAGAAGAACCAGGAACCCAUGAGCACCAGGACCUGGAGACUCCAGGGUCCUUGAACCAGCCUGACAGAGAGAUGGAACCAAGACAGAGGUGAGGAAUCACAAGCUCUGAAUGAUGCUCGGGCAACGGAACCCCAGGAGAUUGUGUCUCCCCCUCUACUCUUCCUGCACAGCCAUCUCAGGCGCAGACAGGAAGACUCAAGAGAAGCAGACAGAGCUCCGUGCCUUCCAGGGGCUAGCCCUCAGAGCUCAUUCUAGCCCUGAGAAUCGCGGAGGGGGAAGGGCCAGGGCGUAUCUUGGGAUGUGGCUUAUGGUUGACGGAGAAGCAGCAGAAUCUAAAGGAGAGCACUUCAUGCUGAAACCACGCAUCCCACCAGGUCAGUGCCUCUCCAAACCCAAAAGAGAUCUGUCCUGCGCCCUGUUCUCACAGGUCAGCCACCUGUCAAGACACUCAAUAUGAGGUCCUUGUACACUACACCGUUUCUCAAGAAAGCACCUGAACUGAGUACUUGUGGACCAGCCCAAAGACAUGAGGUGACCUUCACUGACUCAUCCCACCAAGCUCUAAAGGGCUCCUGCCAGGACCCACCUCUCAUUGCCAAGUUGACAGCCAGCAGGCCUGAUGUUCUCCCACUUUGUUCCCCAGUCUACCAGGAAGACACUUGCCCUGGGUCGUGUCUGUAACCCCCAGGCACAAGUCCAAUGUCCUUAUGUGGACUCAAAACCUAGCUCACAGACUGCCACACAAAAAUGUGGCACGAACUCUAAGUUCAGCAUCUAGGCUAGGGGCAGGAGGUCUUCCCAGGUCCCGGUCUAGACUGACCAGAACCCCCCCCAAAAAAUAAGAUUCAGCAUUUUUAAAACCCCAGCUGAGUUCUCAGUGACCUCGUCUGGAGGCUGUCCAGGCUUUUCAGCUUCCCCCCAGCACAACUGGACUCGGAUCCAAACAGACACCCCAAGUGACCAGGAAGACAACAGCCCUGAUGCCCAGCUUUGACCUCCAGGCUCCACUCAACUCCCCAACUCACCUCACCUGAGCCCAGUCCAGACAGUACUGUCUCCCAGCCCCCAGGAGGCAUGUUAUAAGCUGGCACAGUCUUCAUGAGUUGGGACAAGGAAUGACAGAGCUCCAGGUUCUCAACCACUCCUCCCUCCCUCCCUCCAGAGAAGUCUACACCCGCAGCCAGAGCCCUCACAUCUUAGAGAAUUCUGAGGGACAGAUUCCCAUGUCCCAGCAAGUGUCUUCUAUGAGGACCUUCUGAUCUUAUUCUCACUCCAGGAGAGUGACUGUGAGUGGGAACCUCCGCCCCUCCCAUGGAGAGAAGACGGUGCCUCAAGUCUCACACGACUGAGAAGACAGCGAGAGACUGAGGAGGGGAGAGAGGCAAGAGCAGCUGUGUCUGGUGAAUCAGAGCUUCCCCAGGUGGGGCCUGUGCAAAUGCUGGAACUCCAGAUAAUACUGGGGAUCAACGAACAGACACUGCCUUUAAAUUUUGUAAAUGUAAGUUAUCUAAAAUGGAGCUUCUGAAACUGUCAUACGCAUUCCUUUGUAAAUGAGAUAUAAUUAUGUAAGGAAGUAAGUCAACAUGAAGAAGCCACGUUAUACUAUAAUGUCAAUAGAAAACUCUGAAAUUCAUCUUUGUGGGUGAGUAAAUGACUGAAGUUUGGGUAACUUAAAAGGCUCAUCUAUGGAUGUGGCAAAGGUCUGUAUCCUGAGUCUAGAAUUUUUGACACUGAGGGUGAGUGUUGGUGGAAAUUGUCUUUGCCUUGGGAAUGGGGAAUAUUCUCUUAACCUUGUACAUUUUUAAUUAAAAACCAUUGCAGCAUUAUGUUUGAUUAAUUUAUUUCAAUAUUAACAAAACUCUCUGAAAUAUAUCAUGUAUUACAGGUGUUUUGACAUUUAUCACUUCUGUUCCAUUUUCUUUAUUUUUCUGCAUCGAAUCUUAUUUACCUAAGAGGACUGAGGUACACACAGUAUAAUCCAGGGCCCUGUAGCUUGCAAGAAAUACAAACCCUCAGGCACAAGCCAGGCCUACCGGACCAGUAUCUGGGUUCUUAAUAAUAAUUCCAUGUGUUUCAUAUGUAGGUUGAAGUGUGAUUAGCGCAAAAAGAGAAUGGUUCUCUAUUUGCACAUCAGAAUCACCUGGUUAGGUUUAAAAUUAUAAUAAGUGGUUCCUAGCCCAGAGAUGUUAAUUUACUGACUUUGGUUUGAGACGUGGCAUGAGAUAAUAGAAAAAAUAUAUAUUGUUCUCUGCCCCGGAUUCCUGACACAGAGCUCCUGAAACCCUUUUAGUUUCCUAAGUGAUAGGAGCACUAGGAGCAUCUUUUGUUCCACUGAGGAGACUCUGGGUGGGCUCCUGAAUGGGGGCUGGUCACCAGAAAGACCAAGCCUGAUUAGAAGCUUGGCAUUUUCAACCCCACUCCCCAUCCUCCAGAGAGGGAAGAGGGGCUGGAAAUGGAGAUAAUAAUUGAUCACGGUUACAUGAGGAAUCCUCCAUAGAAUUCCUGUAGUAGUGGGUUCAGAGAGCUUCCAGGCCGGGGAACACAUCCACACUGGGAGGGUGACACACCUCAACUCCACAGGGACAGCAACUCCUGCUCUCGGGACGCUCCCCUUCCGCACACUGCACAUCUCCUCAUCUGGCUGUUCAACUGUAUCCUUUAUUACAUCCUUUAAUAAACUGGUAAAUGUGUUUCCCUCAGUUCUGUGAGCCGCUCCAGGAAAUUAAUCGAACCCAAGGAAAGGGUCGUUGGAACCUCUGAUCUACUGCCAGUUAGUCAGAAGCACAGGUGACACUGAGCUUUGAACCGACAUCUGCAGUUGUCUCAGGUGAAAUAGAAGUAAAAGGAAUAAUUAAGACUAUCUUUUCACAAAAUUCUACAGUUUGUACAGAUUUUGGGGAAAGUGGUACUGAGCUGUAACCCUCAACACUCAAUUAGUAAAUCUUCCUGGAUAAUAUAUAAAACAAUAUUUAUUCCCUGAUUCAACAGUCGCACAAAUACAGAUAUAAAACAAAGAACCCUAUGAGCGUCAUCAAAAACAUGUAACUAAUGAUUAAAUAAACAAAAAGCAAGUUCAUUUCUAACACAUGGAAAUGUGCAAGAUGAAAGCAACAGUAGCCUAAACAAAAUAAAUUAAGGUAGUCUUCAACAUCGUGCACGUCGUUCAGUUUCAUGAACUCCUUCAAUAUGAUGCAUCAAUAUCAUGUUUGUUGAAGAAUGAACAGCAGCACACACAGGGGAUGCACAAUGUGGCGCCAACAAUAGUUGCCAGCACAAAGGCGAUGACCAUUAAUAAACGUGAUCAAAACUGUCACGGUGCCCUUGAUAGAUGCUUUUGUGACAUUCCACAGAAACCAGAAAGACAACAGGAAAUAGUUAUUAGCCAGGCUCUUGUGAUACUCUCGUGAGAUAAACAUGUCCUUGGACUUGCUGACCACUCUACUCAGUGCUUCAAGGGGCACUUUUUUAUGUAGCAGGAUAUUUCUUGUAACAUAUUACUCAAGGUAUUCAAGAAUUUUCUGUUACCCAGUAAACCCACUCCAUGGGAAAGUCCACUGGAAGGUGUCCUUCACCUAAAGAUGGGUUAUUGCAGUAGAAAAAGAGGAGGAGGGGCUGGCCCUGGGGCUGAGUGGUUGAGUUCGUGCGCUCUGCUUCAGCAGCCCAGGGUUUUGCCAGUUUGAUCCUGGGCACCAACACGGCACUGAUCAUUAGGCUACGUUGAGGUGGCGUCCCACAUGCCACAACUAGAAAGACCCACAACUAGAGUAUACAACUAU